AUCCAGCUGAUGAGUCAAAAAUAGGACGAAACGCAAUCCCUGGAU
rnacentral:hammerhead_ribozyme from 1 species